rnacentral:ncRNA from 2 species
CCUGUAGUACGCGCCGAUUUGACGAUCAGCUUGCGGGCGCGAAAAAAAUGCCGCUAAAGCGAGUAAACCCGCUU